GGGGGCGUUUUGGAUUCGACGGGGAUAGUUCGAGCAUGGGCUGCGAGUAGGGGACCAUGUCCUCUUCAACAACAUGGAAGCCAAAUUCAAUUGGCAAACAAGAUUACGCUUUAGCUGCUUAGUAUAAAGUAGCUGCCUCACCACUCCAUUGUCUGUGUGGCGUGAAUGAGGCUCAUAAUCAGCAGACUAGUCACUGGGUAUGCCGAUGGCCCUUUGGCGAAACUUAAUCGGAUAGUCUAAAAGCCUCCUGUCGUUGGGAUCUCUUUUAGGCGAACCAACAAUACGACGACUACACUCGUAGACGCUUAUGUGGCGAUAUCUUCGGACACGGGUUCGAUUCCCGUCGCCUCCACCA
rnacentral:tmRNA from 2 species